ACAUCCGCCCUGUUCGGCGCCCCGUCUGUGCAAACGGUUGGUGGCAGGCCCGUCCGAAAGCGCAAGAGAGA
rnacentral:snoRNA from 1 species